UUGCUUCGGCAUCAACUAUACUAAAAUUGGAAAGAUACAGAGAAGAUUAGCAUGGCCCGUCACAAGAAUGAGACGCAAAUUUGUGAAGCGUUCCAUAUUUUU
ensembl:snRNA U6 U6 spliceosomal RNA